rnacentral:lncRNA from 1 species
UGACUAAAUUAUAGGAAUGUCAUUUACUUUGGUGCAAGCACUAGACUGUACAGGCAGUUAAUUCAGAGUGUACUCGUGCCUCCUCACCAGCAUGGGUAGUGACUCAUGGAAUCACAGAAUAGCUGAGCUUAGAAGGAAUCCCUGCAGAUCAUCUAGUUCCGUACCCACACCUCUGCCCCUAGGCUGAAUGAAACCUUCAGUUUCCCAGCUUGCAAGGAAAAAGUAGAGCCUGUUUGGAUUAUAGAUCUUCCCUGGUUUGGGGCUGAGGUGUUUGGUUUCUAGGGGUUUGGUGGGGGGGCAAGUGUUAGGGGAUGGCUUUGUGUGAUAUUUGGGUUUUACUAGGCCAGUCAACUGAAUAAAUACUUAAACAGUUCUUAAUAGAGCAGGGAGGCAGCACCCAUGGAAGUGUAACACUACUACAUAACCAGUUACAUAGGGUCCAGGGUGCUGCUCCCACCAUUUACCUUCUGCUCGUCCGUGUCUCUCUGACCAAGGCACGGAUACAAACUCCUGCAUGUUUUCCUAAAGGUGUGGACUCUAACUUGUGCAGCAGCUUUCCCAGAGCUGUUGGCUUAAUCUGCAUUCGAGAUACGGUAAAAACCAAAUCCAAAGGAUUAUAUAUAUAUAUAUAUAUAUAUACUUGUGUGUAUGUUUUACCACAAGUUUUAAGGGAUUAGAAGUCCUAAGCAUCUAUAGGAAUCUAAAGUAAUGUGAUCUUAUCACAUCUGCAAGUGAUGAGGUAUUGGAGAACAAUUUUUGUUGCCUUCUGUGUAUGAAAAUGAGUACCACACUAUUGUCAUUAUUACCAGCUUGAUGGCAUGGUUCAUGCACACAGUGCUUGCGAAUUCAGUUGAAGCAGUGUUGUCUCAGAUAGGCUUAGCCUGAUUUUGGGGAGGGAUAAAUCAUACUAACAGUACAGGAAAGCUCAUGUGACAGCAUGCAGCAAACAUCUGUACUUGCAUGCAGGUUAGAAAGUAUGUUUGCUAGUUGAGCACAGCAGCUUCACCAGCCUGUACACUGCCUACCUGCUUCCCUUGCUGCUGACCUGCAGCUGCCUCCUGUUUGCUCCUGGAAAUCAUGACAUUAAGCACAUGAGUUAAAGAGCAAAUGUAAGAGAUUAUUUUCUGCAUAUUGAUUUCUAGCUCUAUUAGGUAUUUAUCUGGUUGGAUGGAAAAUGUUGUGUCUCUAAAAGGUUUAUGCAAAAAGUGUUAUCAACCUGGAAUGUCAGUUUUAACUAAGUCUUUGAAUGUUAGCAGACUGCUUUGUAAUUUAGUAAUUGCCUAUUGUUAAGACUGUUGCUACAUUUGUGACACAAUCUCUUUACCUACCACUUGUCUUAACUGCUGCUGUAUUACCAUUGGUUUUAAUGUCAUGUGACAGCGUGUACAGUUUGUGUUUCCAAAUAGAAACAGUCCUAUCC